rnacentral:rRNA from 1 species
AACGAACGCUGGCGGCGUGCUUAACACAUGCAAGUUGAACGCGAAAGUUUUUUUCGGAAAGCGAGUUAAGUGGCGCACGGGUGAGUAACGCGUAAGUUAUCUACCUCGGCAUCUGGAAUAACUCACCGAAAGGUGUGCUAAUACCGGAUACGUUGAGUAAUCAAGAAAGGUGGCCUCUGAAUAUGCUACUGUGCUGAGAUGAGCUUGCGUACCAUUAGCUAGUUGGUAGGGUAAUGGCCUACCAAGGCAACGAUGGUUAGCGGGUUUGAGAGGAUGAUCCGCCACACUGGAACUGAAACACGGACCAGACUCCUACGGGAGGCAGCAGUGAGGAAUAUUGCGCAAUGGGGGAAACCCUGACGCAGCGACGCCGCGUGGAUGAUGAAGGCCUUCGGGUCGUAAAAUCCUGUCAGAUGGAAAGAAAUGCAU